UAUUACAGCUUUGCCACCCUGAACGUGCCCGAUCUCGUCUGAUCUCAGAAGCUAAGCAGGGUCGGGCCUGGUUAGUACUUGGAUGGGAGACCACCUAGGAAUACCAGGUUCUAUAGGUA
rnacentral:rRNA from 1 species